AUUGAACGCUGGCGGCAUGCUUUACACAUGCAAGUCGAACGGUAACAGGCCGCAAGGUGCUGACGAGUGGCGAACGGGUGAGUAAUGCAUCGGAACGUGCCCAGUCGUGGGGGAUAACGCAGCGAAAGCUGCGCUAAUACCGCAUACGAUCUAUGGAUGAAAGCGGGGGACCGUAAGGCCUCGCGCGAUUGGAGCGGCCGAUGUCAGAUUAGGUAGUUGGUGGGGUAAAGGCUCACCAAGCCAACGAUCUGUAGCUGGUCUGAGAGGACGACCAGCCACACUGGGACUGAGACACGGCCCAGACUCCUACGGGAGGCAGCAGUGGGGAAUUUUGGACAAUGGGCGCAAGCCUGACCCAGCAAUGCCGCGUGCAGGAAGAAGGCCUUCGGGUUGUAAACUGCUUUUGUACGGAGCGAAAAGGCUUCCACUAAUACUGGGAGCUCAUGACGGUACCGUAAGAAUAAGCACCGGCUAACUACGUGCCAGCAGCCGCGGUAAUAC
rnacentral:rRNA from 1 species